CUCGGGGUUCCUAGUACCCCCGGCUCUUGUCGCCGGUGGCCUCCGUGCUUCCCCAUUUUUGACUCCAGCUCGCUGAACAGGGUUGGAUCAUCUCAUUUCUGAUUAAGUUUGAUCAUGUGAGAAACAACUACUGAGCAGAAAUAUGAAGGAUGCAAGUGGGAAACACAACCACAAGAAAUUUACUGUCUCAUAAUUUGAGAGGCUCGAAGUCCAUGAUCAAGGUGUCAACAGGAUUGGUUCCUUUUGAAUACUGUGAGAGAGAAUCUACUCCAUGUUCUCUCCUAGCUUAAAACACUUCUUGUUACAACCCAACUAUUUUGCUAUGCAGAAGAGAUGCCACCAGCCUCCAACUGUCUAGCAUCCCAGCUGAAGCACUAAACAGGUGAAUGAAGAAGCAGUCUUGGAUAUUCCAGAUUCAGCUGAUGUCAUGGGGAGCAGACACAAGCCAUGCCUGCGGAGCCCUGCCCAAUUGGCAGAUUCAUAGCUAAUAAAUGAUUGAUCUUAUUUUAAGUUAAAAAAAGUAGCUAAUUUAAUGGUAUGUCAAUAUAAAGCCAAUAAAUACUGUUGGGUAUUUUUGGCUUCACUGUAAAAAUUAGUUAAAAUUUACUUUUUGAAGGAUUUAUAUACUUUAACAACCUCAGAUCUGAGGAAAACCAAAUCUCCCCCUUGUGGUCACUAUCAUUUUUCCAUCCACUCAUGUGCUCUUCAAGGUUAGAAAGUAAGUUUUAACUUGGAUUUCUGUCACUAGAAGUCUCUCUCAUAAAGUUCUUACUUUUUGCAAAUAUCUUUGAAGUCUUAAUAUAGCUGACCUAAUAUAGAAAACAGCUGGAUUCUCACUGAUGCUUUUGCAUUCAAUAUGCUGUAAUAUGAUGUUUUGUUAAAGCACAUGAAGAAAACCUGGCCCCACACAUACAUGUAGCUGGGAAAGGUAUUUUAAUAGCCUUUUCAAAUAAUUAUGAAUAUUCUUUUUUGAUACUACAUCAAAGAAGUGGUUUCUUAACAGAGGCUGAAAUGUGGAAUCUGAAACCACAUCAGCAAACUUUUCCUACUGUUAUAUUAAAAUCCAGAUGCCAUAUCUUACACACUUUGAAUGGAUCAUUUAACCAAGAAUGAUUUUGUUUCAUGUACUGCUCAUUUGGAGAAUACUGGUUCACUAAUUUAUGCAGAUCUUCUAAAUGUUGACCCAUUUCAU